UCAAGUGAAUAAGUGCACACGGUGGAUGCCUUGGCGACAACAGGCGAAGAAGGACGUGGUAAUCUGCGAAAAGCCCCGGGAAGCUGAUAACAAGCUGUGAUCCGGGGAUCUCCGAAUGGGGCAACCCGACCUUAGGGUCAUUCAUAACUGAAUACAUAGGUUAUGAAAGCGAACCGGGAGAACUGAAACAUCUAAGUACCCCGAGGAAAAGAAAUCAACCGAGAUUCCGCAAGUAGCGGCGAGCGAACGCGGAUUAGCCCAAUUAAGUUGCGCAUGAGUUAGCAGAACACUCUGGAAAGGGUGGCCAUAGAAGGUGAUAGCCCGGUAUGUGAAAGCCAUGCGUAAUGAAUCGAGUAGGGCGGGACACGUGAAAUCCUGUCUGAAUAUGGGGGGACCAUCCUCCAAGGCUAAAUACUCGUUGUCGACCGAUAGUGAACCAGUACCGUGAGGGAAAGGCGAAAAGAACCCUGGUGAAGGGAGUGAAAUAGAACCUGAAACCGUGUGCAUACAAGCAGUCAGAGCAUAUGAAGAUAUGUGAUGGCGUACCUUUUGUAUAAUGGGUCAGCGAGUUACAUUCAGUGGCGAGGUUAACCGAAUAGGGGAGCCGUAGCGAAAGCGAGUCUUAAUAGGGCGAUAAGUCUCUGGGUGUAGACCCGAAACCGGGCGAUCUAUCCAUGGGCAGGUUGAAGGUUGAGUAACAUCAACUGGAGGACCGAACCCACGCAUGUUGAAAAAUGCGGGGAUGACCUGUGGAUAGGAGUGAAAGGCUAAACAAGCUCGGAGAUAGCUGGUUCUCCCCGAAAACUAUUGAGGUAGUGCCUUGUAGAUUGACUUACGGGGGUAGAGCACUGUUUCGGCUAGGGGGUCAUACCGACUUACCAACCCGAUGCAAACUCCGAAUACCGUAAAGUUUUACUACAGGAGACACACGGCGGGUGCUAACGUCCGUCGUGAAGAGGGAAACAACCCAGACCGCCAGCUAAGGUCCCGAAAUGACAGUUCAGUGGGAAACGAAGUGGGAAGGCUUAGACAGCUAGGAGGUUGGCUUAGAAGCAGCCAUCCUUUAAAGAAAGCGUAAUAGCUCACUAGUCGAGUCGUCCUGCGCGGAAGAUUUACCGGGGCUAAACUGUCUACCGAAGCUGCGGAUUUGCAUGCAAAUGCAAGUGGUAGGGGAGCGUUGUGUAAGCUGAUGAAGGUGUGUUGAGAAGCAUGCUGGAGGUAUCACAAGUGCGAAUGCUGACAUGAGUAACGAUAAUGUGGGUGAAAAACCCGCACACCGAAAACCCAAGGUUUCCUGCGCAACGCUAAUCGGCGCAGGGUGAGUCGGCCCCUAAGGCGAGGCGGAAACGCGUAGUCGAUGGGAAACAGGUUAAUAUUCCUGUACUGAUCAUAAUUGCGAUGGGGGGACGGAGAAAGCUAGGCCAGCACACUGUUGGAUGUGUGUUUAAGCGCGUAGGUUGGGGACUUAGGCAAAUCCGGGUUCCUAAGACUGAAACGUGAUGACGAGUUUCUACGGAAACGAAGUGGUUGAUGCUCUGCUUCCAGGAAAAGCCUCUAAGCUUCAGAUUAUGACAACCGUACCCCAAACCGACACAGGUGGGUAGGAAGAGAAUUCCAAGGUGCUUGAGAGAACUCGGGUAAAGGAACUCGGCAAAAUGAUACCGUAACUUCGGGAUAAGGUAUGCCUCUGAUGGUGAAUAGCUGUUGGAGGCCGCAGAGAAUAGGCCGCUGCGACUGUUUAUCAAAAACACAGCACUCUGCAAACACGCAAGUGGACGUAUAGGGUGUGACGCCUGCCCGGUGCCGGAAGGUUAAUUGAUGGGGUGCAAGCUCUUGAUCGAAGCCCCGGUAAACGGCGGCCGUAACUAUAACGGUCCUAAGGUAGCGAAAUUCCUUGUCGGGUAAGUUCCGACCUGCACGAAUGGCGUAACGAUGGCGGCGCUGUCUCUACCCGAGACUCAGUGAAGUUGAAAUCGCUGUGAAGAUGCAGUGUACCCGCGGCAAGACGGAAAGACCCCGUGAACCUUCACUACAGCUUGACACUGAACAUUGAAAUAAGUUGCAUAGGAUAGGUGGGAGGCUUUGAAGCAGAGACUCUGGUUUCUGUGGAGCCGACCUUGAAAUACCACCCUGCUUAUUUUGAUGUUCUAACGUAGACCCGUAAUCCGGGUUGCAGACAGUGUCUGGUGGGUAGUUUGACUGGGGCGGUCUCCUCCCAAAGAGUAACGGAGGAGUGCGAAGGUGGGCUCGGUGCGGUCGGAAAUCGCACCAAGAGUG
rnacentral:rRNA from 1 species